AAAUGCGAUAAGUAAUGUGAAUUGCAGAAUUCCGUGAAUCAUCGAAUCUUUGAACGCACAUUGCGCCCUCUGGCAUUCCGGGGGGCAUGCCUGUCCGAGCGUCAUUACGCACCCUCAAGCCCGGCUUGUGUGAUGGGCCCCGGCGUCUCGUUCGCGAGACGGACCCGAAAGGCAGCGGCGGCGUCGACCCGAUGAGCCCGAGCGUAUGGGGACUUCUGUCACACGUUCGCGGUGCGGACCGGCGCCUGCUUUGACUUUUCUGAUUAUCCAGGUUGACCUCGGAUCAGGUAGGGAUACCCGCUGAACUUAAGC
rnacentral:misc_RNA from 1 species